AAAUUGGCAUCAAGAUUGGAGAAGAAGGCUGGCCAAAUCCCGAGCCUAUUUUUGAGGUUAUCAUCAAUUUGGUAACUCCGAUCCUUUUCAAUUUUUUUGUGCUUGUUUCUAACUUAGUUUUUAAGAAGUGUGCAAAAUUUGAGUUAAGAUCAACGGUUUAUUCAUUAGUUAUUGAGGAUUACAUCUGUUAUAGGAAUUAUUAGGAUUUGGUUAGGGAUUGGUUUAGGGUUUGGCUAGGGAUUAGGGUUUGGUUAGGAUUUAGGGUUUGGUUUAGGAUUUAGGGUUUGAAUUAGGAUUUAGAUUAGGAUUUAGGAUUUGGUUUAGAGAUUGGUUUAAGGUUUAUGGUUUGAUUAAGGUUUGAUAAGGGUUUGAUUAGGGUUUGCUUUAGGAUUUGAUUUAGGGUUUGAUUUAGGAUUUAGGGUUUAAGAUUUAAUCAGUUUUGGCCUAAAGUUUGAAUGAAGUUCAAUAAGAUUUUGACUAGAAUUAAAUAAAGAUUGAAUUGAGAUGUAUUUGAGUGAUAUUUGUGAUCCUUCUAAUAUUUCUUUAAAAAUUCUUAUUGUUUGUUUGAAAUUUCUUUGAGUUUUUUUUUUGAAUUCGAUUAAGCUUGCUUAGCAUUAUUAUGGUCUAAUUAGAGCAUUAUUAGUAUUCUAUUAGAAUUUGGAUUUUUUUUUUGCAAAUUCUAUUCUUUCUUCCACAGCUAGGUGCCCAGAGUAUUCUCAAGCAAGACUUCACGUAUUAUGACAAUACUCUUAUGUAACUGAAGAGAAGUAGUAAGUCACUCAAAAGGUGAUGUAAUAUCAAACUAGAAUAGCUAUUGCUCAAAACAAGAAGACUAUAAAUUCUUGAAAUAAGACUAAGGACUAGAAAGGCAUUGACAUGAAUGGCAUUAACUUGUUGGCCAAGUUUCUAUUUUAUAAAUACAUAUAAAGUCAAAAUU
rnacentral:lncRNA from 1 species